CGGAUUCCAGCUGCUUUCCAAGUUGGAGGCGCCUAGUGAGGGUCAGGGAGGCCCGGCCCGCGCCCUCCCCGCCCAGCCGCCUCCCCGUCGACCACCCAGGGCUGGGGCGAGCCAGGCUGCCUUUCGAACUUGGGGGCUUCUCCUCUUGUCUCCCACUGGUGCUCUGGCCGUGAAUCCAUCCAGGCGCCAGGAGAUGACAAUCCGGUACCAAGGCCGGCAGUACAGGCUGAGGAUGGCAUUUCUCCAAAAGGUUUCCAAGCUGCGUCCUGGGCCUGGAGACUGAGACAGAGAUCCACGGACUGCAGUGCAGGCAGCCCACCCCAGAUCCGAGUCAUAUAAGGUCCAGUCACAUCUUCUAUGCCUAUCUCAGCUGCUGACACGUGACUCAGCUGCUCCCAUUUUCCUUGGAAAAGUAGGAGCUGGAAAGGACCUCAGUCAGAGGUCAUCCACAUCAACCAUCUCAUUUCACUGAUGAGGAAACUGAGACUUGGACCAGGGGAAGUCAGCUGCCAUGUUGUGAGGACACUCAAGCAAUCCUAUGGAGAGGCCCAUGUGAUGAGGAACUGAAGCCUCCUGCCAACAGCCAUGUGAGGGCACCAUCUUGGAAGCAGAUCCGCCAACUUCACCCAAGCCUUCAGAUGAAUAUAGCCCUGACCGACAUCUUCACUACAAUCUCAUGAGAGAACCUGCGCCAGCACUACCUAGCUAUGAUGCUGCAAAAUUCCUGACCCAUAGAAACUGUGAGAUAAUAAAUGCCUGUUGUGUUAAGCCACAAGUUUUGUGGAAAUUUGUUACUCAGCAAUAACUAACAUGAGAGUUAGCUGAAGGUCACAUUCUUGUUGAGUAGUGGAAAGGGUUUUGUUAACCCUUCACCCACUGUGGUUCACUUGAUAAAUGAUAGAUGAAUAAAGAGUGAA
rnacentral:lncRNA from 1 species